ACCUCCUGUAUGGCCAGAACGAUUUGAUGUUUUCCCAUUAGUUUAGAAGAUUACCAACAUCUGUCAAAAAUUUGCGCCUGGUGGCACCAUCUAGAGCUACCCGUGUAAGCUACAAAAGAAAACUUUGUUAUCAUUUUGUCGUGUUUUGUCAAUGUUAACUCAGUUAUCUGUCACCUGUCACUAUCAUCAUAGAUCAUGAGCGGAUCAUGAGCAAGUUGCAACGAACACGCAACGAAACUAAAAACUAAGUAAUAAUAUCAAAUUAUAGAAAACAUAAUUUUAUUUCAGCAAUUUAAUUGUAUAUCUAUAAUUUUUAUUUAAUAAUGAACGACAAAAACUAAUUAACAACCAAAAACUUUGAACAAAAAUUAUUUAAGACCACUGUGGCAGCAGUUCUUAUUAUAAAUUGGGAAACCUGCGUCCUAUGGGUAGAACAAUGAAAAAUUGGAUUUUGUACUAAAUGUGCUGUGAUAAGUUCUAUUAACUGACUGCAAGGAUUUUCCUUUUCAAUGUGUGGUAUUAGUAGAUGUAUAACUUCAGCCAGUUCUUUUAAAACAGCUACAAAUUCGAGAUUGGGAUAUGUCAGCCCCCCACGAUCUUGUAAAUUUAUUAAACGCAAUAAGGGUCCAGGGAUGGUUUUAGUUAAUAAUGAAGACACGCAGUAAUCACACUUAAAUUUAUCAUUCAUUUUUUUUAUGAUAUA